rnacentral:rRNA from 1 species
GAUGAACGCCGGCGGCGUGCUUAACACAUGCAAGUCGAACGAAGCACUUUAUUUGAUUUCCUUCGGGACUGAUUAUUUUGUGACUGAGUGGCGGACGGGUGAGUAACGCGUGGGUAACCUGCCUUGUACAGGGGGAUAACAGUUGGAAACGGCUGCUAAUACCGCAUAAGCGCACGGCAUCGCAUGAUGCAGUGUGAAAAACUCCGGUGGUAUAAGAUGGACCCGCGUUGGAUUAGCUAGUUGGUGAGGUAACGGCCCACCAAGGCGACGAUCCAUAGCCGACCUGAGAGGGUGACCGGCCACAUUGGGACUGAGACACGGCCCAAACUCCUACGGGAGGCAGCAGUGGGGAAUAUUGCACAAUGGGCGAAAGCCUGAUGCAGCGACGCCGCGUGAGCGAAGAAGUAUUUCGGUAUGUAAAGCUCUAUCAGCAGGGAAGAUAAUGACGGUACCUGACGAAGAAGCACCGGCUAAAUACGUG